rnacentral:rRNA from 1 species
UACGAAGGGGGCUAGCGUUGUUCGGAAUUACUGGGCGUAAAGCGCACGUAGGCGGUUCGUUAUGUCGGAUGUGAAAGCCCUUAGCUUAACCGAGGAAGUGCAUCCGAAACUGGCGAGCUAGAGUACGAAAGAGGAUCGCGGAAUUCCCGGUGUAGAGGUGAAAUUCGUAGAUAUCGGGAGGAACACCGGUGGCGAAGGCGGCGAUCUGGGUCGAUACUGACGCUGAGGUGCGAAAGCGUGGGGAGCAAACAGG